rnacentral:rRNA from 1 species
CCUACGGGCGGCAGCAGUGAGGAAUAUUGGUCAAUGGACGGAAGUCUGAACCAGCCAUGCCGCGUGCAGGAAGACGGCUCUAUGAGUUGUAAACUGCUUUUGUACAAGGGUAAACAUGAAUACGUGUAUUCAGCUGAACGUACUGUACGAAUAAGGAUCGGCUAACUCCGUGCCAGCAGCCGCGGUAAUACGGAGGAUCCAAGCGUUAUCCGGAUUUAUUGGGUUUAAAGGCUGCGUAGGCGGAUAGAUAAGUUAGAGGUGAAAGGUACGAGCUUAACCCGGGAACUGCCUUUAAGACUGUUGAUCUAGAGAGUAGAUGCGGUAGGCGGAAUGUAUGGUGUAGCGGUGAAAUGCUUAGAGAUCAUACAGAACACCGAUUGCGAAGGCAGCUUACCAAUCUAUAUCUGACGUUGAGGCACGAAAGCGUGGGGAGCAAACAGGAUUAGAUACCCCUGUAGUC